CCUACGGGAGGCAGCAGUGAGGAAUAUUGGUCAAUGGGCGCGAGCCUGAACCAGCCAAGUAGCGUGAAGGAGGAAUGCCCUACGGGUUGUAAAAGGAGAGGAGAAAGGAAUAAAGUGAGGCACGUGUGCCUUUUUGUAUGUACUUUAUGAAUAAGGAUCGGCUAACUCCGUGCCAGCAGCCGCGGUAAUACGGAGGAUCCGAGCGUUAUCCGGAUUUAUUGGGUUUAAAGGGAGCGUAGAUGGGUUGUUAAGUCAGUUGUGAAAGUUUGCGGCUCAACCGUAAAAUUGCAAUUGAUACUGGCAGUCUUGAGGACAGUUGAGGUAGGCGGAAUUCGUGGUGUAGCGGUGAAAUGCUUAGAUAUCACGAAGAACUCCGAUUGCGAAGGCAGCUUACUAAACUGCCACUGACAUUGAUGCUCGAAAGUGUGGGUAUCAAACAGGAUUAGAUCCCCGUGUAGUC
rnacentral:rRNA from 1 species